GGGUAUAUAGUUCAGGGGUAGAGCAUUUGACUGCUAGAUGAAGAAGUCCUCGGUUCAAAUCCGGUGUGCCCC
rnacentral:tRNA from 1 species